rnacentral:rRNA from 1 species
AGUGAACGCUGGCGGUAGGCCUAACACAUGCAAGUCGAACGGCAGCACAGUAAGAGCUUGCUCUUACGGGUGGCGAGUGGCGGACGGGUGAGGCAUACAUCGGAAUCUACUUUUUCGGGGGGGAUAACGUAGGGAAACUGACGCUACUACCGCAUACGACCUACGGGUGAAAGCAGGGGAUCUUCGCACCUUUCGCGACUGAAUGAGCCGAUGUCGGAUUAGCUAGUUGGCUGGGUAAAGGCCCACCAAGGCGACGAUACGUAGCUGGUCUGAGAGGAUGAUCAGCCACACUGGAACUGAGACACGGUCCAGACUCCUACGGGAGGCAGCAGUGGGGAAUAUUGGACAAUGGGCGCAAGCCUGAUCCAGCCAUACCGCGUGGGUGAAGAAGGCCUUCGGGUUGUAAAGCCCUUUUGUUGGGAAAGAAAAGCAGCAGGUUAAUACCCCGCUGUUCUGACGGUACCCAAAGAAUAAGCACCGGCUAACUUCGUG